rnacentral:misc_RNA from 1 species
GUUCUUUGCAUUGUCGGCGGUCGGCUAUCGCGGCGCCAUUCUCAAUGUGACCGGGGUCAGCUUCGUCACCGCCGCAAGCGUGACGCUGGUGGCGACGCUGCUGAUGCAGACCAUUGUCCUGUCAGGUUGGCUGAUCGUGCGUGCGCCGGGAACCAUGACGGCGAUCUUCCGGCUCUGGAAGCCGUCGAUGUUCGCUGGCUUCAUGGGCUCGUUCGCAUCGCUGUUCUGGUUUCUCGCCUUCGCGCUGACCGCCGCGGCGAAUGUGCGGACGCUGGCGCUGGUCGAGGUGCUGUUCGCGCAAGUUGCGG